rnacentral:miRNA from 1 species
AGUUAAAUUUGAGUUUCAGGUAAACAAAGGUUAAUAUUUUUAGUGUAAGUAUGUCCUGUGCAAUAUUUGCUACAUACUUAUACUAAAAAAAAUUAUUAUAUAUCUGAAAUUCAAAUUUAUCU